CCUACGGGUGGCAGCAGUGAGGAAUAUUGGUCAAUGGACGAGAGUCUGAACCAGCCAAGUCGCGUGAAGGAUGACUGCCCUAUGGGUUGUAAACUUCUUUUGUAUGGGAAUAAAACAGGGUAUGCAUACCCUCUUGUAUGUACCAUAUGAAUAAGGAUCGGCUAACUCCGGGCCAGCAGCCGCGGUAAUACGGAGGAUCCGAGCGUUACCCGGAUUUAUUGGGCUUAAAGGGAGCGUAGGUGGAUUGUUAAGUCAGGUGUGAAAGUUUGGGGCUCAACCUUAGAAUUGCAGUUGAUACUGGGAGUCUGGAGUACAGUAGAGGUGGGCGGAAUUCGGGGUGUAGCGGUGAAAUGCUUAGAUAUCACGAAGAACUCCGAUGGCGAAGGCAGCUCACUGGAC
rnacentral:rRNA from 1 species